UGGGGAAUAUUGCACAAUGGGCGAAAGCCUGAUGCAGCGACGCCGCGUGAGGGAUGACGGCCUUCGGGUUGUAAACCUCUUUCAGCAGGGACGAAGCGCAAGUGACGGUACCUGCAGAAGAAGCACCGGCUAACUACGUGCCAGCAGCCGCGGUAAUACGUAGGGUGCACGCGUUGUCCGGAAUUACUUGGCGUAAAGAGUUCGUAGGCGGUUUGUCGCGUCGUUUGUGAAAACCAGCAGCUCAACUGCUGGCUUGCAGGCGAUACGGGCAGACUUGAGUACUGGAGGGGAGACUGGAAUUCCUGGUGUAGCGGUGAAAUGCGGAGAUAUCAGGAGGAACACCGGUGGCGAAGGCGGGUCUCUGGGCAGUAACUGACGCUGAGGAACGAAAGCGUGGGUAGCGAACAGG
rnacentral:rRNA from 1 species